UUAAGCAAUCUUUUUUCUUGAAAAGUUAAAAGAUUUUGUUCCUCUUUUCACUUCUUCAUUACCAAUAAAACAAUACACACUCUCAAAUCAAUUGUCCCACCCAACACAACCUUCCAUUGAAAUUCUGGCCUAACAUGACCAUCACCACCAUCGCAUCACAGCCAUCACCACAUCCCCCUCCUAUCUUGGUGUCCUACUCUUUUUGAAAGUAUAGAUCUGACCAGAUUAAAAGGGAUUAAAAGGCUGGAUAGAACAAAUCUGAAAAAACGGUCAAACGGCAUGUGAUGGCCCGUAUGAGGUUCAACUAACUAUACCAGUGGAGGGUUAUGAGUUGGAUAUACUCAUGUUCUCUUGGUGAUGGUAAACGGGAGUGGAUAGUUUGUUGGCGUUGCUGAAAUGAUGGGGCUUGAUUUCUUAUACAGCCAUGUAACACAAGCCACCACCACAAUCUUGCACCUUAAUUCUCAUUAAGGCAUUUCCUAUAAUCGAGAUUCAAGAAACGAAGCAAUGCUCAGCAACAAAAUUGAAAUGGAGCUGCUGAUUUAGUAGAAAUUGAUGUGCAGGCAGAGGCACAUGUAAAUUAUACUUGAUAGUGAAUCUCUGCACAUAAGAAUUGUGCUUGAAAGAAAUAGUGAUGUGGAGUAAGAAAUAGAGGGGGAUAAUGGAUUGGCAAAGGAACUAUGCGCAUCGCUGAAAUGCUUUGAUGUGUCAUUAUUUCUCCUCAGGUUGUAUCUCGGUGAUUUGUAUCUACCAAAGCAUGUCGACAUCAAAUUCGGAGGACGGUACAUGUAAUCGAAUUCGGAGGACGGUAAAUGCAAAGACUCCCCCUUUAAAUAACUAAACUUGCUCGAACACCGAAACCCUAGGCGCGUGCGAUCCAAAUGGGGAAGGAAGGAUCAACGGUUGUCGGUGAGUUCUAAUCAUUCGUAAACUUCCGUUAUUGUUAUCUGAAUCUGUAAUUUGUUGCUUUUCGAUCUGAUUAUACUGUUUGUUUGUGUUGUUUGAAGUUUUAGGGUUUUGAAUUUGUUUAUGUUUGUUAGGUUAGUGAACUCUAGGGUUAUUACAUUUGUUAGAUUGUUCAGAAUAUUUUGCUGUGCAGUAAUGCGGUUAAAGAUCGGAUACCGGUCAAGGACCGAUAUUUGAGGUAUACGUUAUCGUGGUGGGAUAUCGGUACUUUUAGUAUCAUACAGAAUUUAUAUAUAUACUUGAAACGCCGCCUCAAGGUCUUGACGCAUUUUUCUGAGCACCUUGCGUGUCUUUUUAAAACCGAAGAGGGUUCAUUUGGAACAAUUUGAGGGUGCCUUUUUGUUGUUAUCUGUGUUUUUUUUGGCAAUCAGAGGUUUGUGGUAUAGUAAAGAUCUACACUUGGAUCAAUAUUUUA
rnacentral:lncRNA from 1 species